GGUUAAGCGACUAAGCGUACACGGUGGAUGCCCUGGCAGUCAGAGGCGAUGAAGGACGUGCUAAUCUGCGAAAAGCGUCGGUAAGGUGAUAUGAACCGUUACAGCCGGCGAUGUCCGAAUGGGGAAACCCAGUGCAAUUCGUUGCACUAUCGUUAACUGAAUACAUAGGUUAACGAGGCGAACCGGGGGAACUGAAACAUCUAAGUACCCCGAGGAAAAGAAAUCAACCGAGAUUCCCCCAGUAGCGGCGAGCGAACGGGGAGCAGCCCGGAGUCUGAAUCAGCUUGUGUGUUAGUGGAAGCGUCUGGAAAGUCGCAGGGUACAGGGUGAUACUCCCGUACACUAAAACACACAGGCUGUGAACUCGAAGAGUAGGGCGGGACACGUGGUAUCCUGUCUGAAUAUGGGGGGACCAUCCUCCAAGGCUAAAUACUCCUGACUGACCGAUAGUGAACCAGUACCGUGAGGGAAAGGCGAAAAGAACCCCGGCGAGGGGAGUGAAAAAGAACCUGAAACCGUGUACGUACAAGCAGUAGGAGCCCCACCACCAAAGCGUUUCGCUUUGCGUGGUGCGCAAAAUGCGUAACGACAGCAUGAUGGACGGUUAACGGAGCGUCAGCGACGUUCAACCUCAAAAAUCAGGCAGUGGAGCGUUUUGGGGUGGGGUGACUGCGUACCUUUUGUAUAAUGGGUCAGCGACUUAUAUUCUGUAGCAAGGUUAACCGAAUAGGGGAGCCGCAGGGAAACCGAGUCUUAACUGGGCGUUAAGUUGCAGGGUAUAGACCCGAAACCCGGUGAUCUAGCCAUGGGCAGGUUGAAGGUUGGGUAACACUAACUGGAGGACCGAACCGACUAAUGUUGAAAAAUUAGCGGAUGACUUGUGGCUGGGGGUGAAAGGCCAAUCAAACCGGGAGAUAGCUGGUUCUCCCCGAAAGCUAUUUAGGUAGCGCCUCGUGAACUCAUCUUCGGGGGUAGAGCACUGUUUCGGCUAGGGGGUCAUCCCGACUUACCAACCCGAUGCAAACUACGAAUACCGAAGAAUGUUAUCACGGGAGACACACGGCGGGUGCUAACGUCCGUCGUGAAGAGGGAAACAACCCAGACCGCCAGCUAAGGUCCCAAAGUCAUGGUUAAGUGGGAAACGAUGUGGGAAGGCCCAGACAGCCAGGAUGUUGGCUUAGAAGCAGCCAUCAUUUAAAGAAAGCGUAAUAGCUCACUGGUCGAGUCGGCCUGCGCGGAAGAUGUAACGGGGCUAAACCAUGCACCGAAGCUGCGGCAGCGACACUAUGUGUUGUUGGGUAGGGGAGCGUUCUGUAAGCCGUUGAAGGUGGCCUGUGAGGGUUGCUGGAGGUAUCAGAAGUGCGAAUGCUGACAUAAGUAACGAUAAUGCGGGUGAAAAACCCGCACGCCGGAAGACCAAGGGUUCCUGUCCAACGUUAAUCGGGGCAGGGUGAGUCGACCCCUAAGGCGAGGCCGAAAGGCGUAGUCGAUGGGAAACAGGUUAAUAUUCCUGUACUUGGUGUUACUGCGAAGGGGGGACGGAGAAGGCUAUGUUGGCCGGGCGACGGUUGUCCCGGUUUAAGCAUGUAGGCGGAUGUUCCAGGUAAAUCCGGAACGUUACUAACGCUGAGGUGUGAUGACGAGGCACUACGGUGCUGAAGUGACAAAUGCCCUGCUUCCAGGAAAAGCCUCUAAGCAUCAGGUAACAUCAAAUCGUACCCCAAACCGACACAGGUGGUCAGGUAGAGAAUACCAAGGCGCUUGAGAGAACUCGGGUGAAGGAACUAGGCAAAAUGGUGCCGUAACUUCGGGAGAAGGCACGCUGAUGGUAAGUGAAGUGACUUGCUCAUGGAGCUGAAAUCAGUCGAAGAUACCAGCUGGCUGCAACUGUUUAUUAAAAACACAGCACUGUGCAAACACGAAAGUGGACGUAUACGGUGUGACGCCUGCCCGGUGCCGGAAGGUUAAUUGAUGGGGUUAUCCUCACGGAGAAGCUCUUGAUCGAAGCCCCGGUAAACGGCGGCCGUAACUAUAACGGUCCUAAGGUAGCGAAAUUCCUUGUCGGGUAAGUUCCGACCUGCACGAAUGGCGUAAUGAUGGCCAGGCUGUCUCCACCCGAGACUCAGUGAAAUUGAACUCGCUGUGAAGAUGCAGUGUACCCGCGGCAAGACGGAAAGACCCCGUGAACCUUUACUAUAGCUUGACACUGAACACUGGUCCUUGAUGUGUAGGAUAGGUGGGAGGCUUUGAAGUGUGGACGCCAGUCUGCAUGGAGCCAUCCUUGAAAUACCACCCUUUAAUGGCUGGUGUUCUAACGUGGGCCCGUGAUCCGGGUUGCGGACAGUGUCUGGUGGGUAGUUUGACUGGGGCGGUCUCCUCCUAAAGAGUAACGGAGGAGCACGAAGGUCAGCUAAUCCUGGUCGGACAUCAGGAGGUUAGUGCAAUGGCAUAAGCUGGCUUGACUGCGAGCGUGACGGCGCGAGCAGGUGCGAAAGCAGGUCAUAGUGAUCCGGUGGUUCUGAAUGGAAGGGCCAUCGCUCAACGGAUAAAAGGUACUCCGGGGAUAACAGGCUGAUACCGCCCAAGAGUUCAUAUCGACGGCGGUGUUUGGCACCUCGAUGUCGGCUCAUCACAUCCUGGGGCUGAAGUAGGUCCCAAGGGUAUGGCUGUUCGCCAUUUAAAGUGGUACGCGAGCUGGGUUUAGAACGUCGUGAGACAGUUCGGUCCCUAUCUGCCGUGGGCGCUGGAGAAUUGAGGGGGGCUGCUCCUAGUACGAGAGGACCGGAGUGGACGCAUCACUGGUGUUCGGGUUGUCAUGCCAAUGGCAUUGCCCGGUAGCUAAAUGCGGAAGAGAUAAGUGCUGAAAGCAUCUAAGCACGAAACUUGCCCCGAGAUGAGUUCUCCCUGACUCCUUGAGAGUCCUGAAGGAACGUUGAAGACGACGACGUUGAUAGGCCGGGUGUGUAAGCGCAGCGAUGCGUUGAGCUAACCGGUACUAAUGAACCGUGAGGCUUAACCUU
rnacentral:rRNA from 1 species